CAUGGUGUAGAUAAGAAAACAUAAUAAAAAUGAUGCAAAACUUAAAUCUAAACUAAGAAAACAAUAAAAAUUGAAAGAACCUGCUCAGAUCCAGCCCUAAACGGACUAGAUCUGAGCGGGAAGAUUUUGUCGGCGGUUGGUUUUUUUUCUCCUGAUAGAAGAGAUGGUAGAGACGAGAGAAGGUUUUUUUUUUUUUUUGCAUGAAAAAAUGCCCUAAUAUUCACACGGCGUCAACAAAUCAAGACGUGCAAGUGCAUCAUCCUUGAAUGAGAUCAGCUAUAGUUGUGGUUAUCAACAGUUCUCUAUUAUGUAUUCGGCUGGCCAACUACUACAAUUUAUUCCAUAAUGGGGAACUGACUGUGGAGUCUACCAGAUGGUUGUAUUUGUAUCAGCAAUAAUAAACGAUACAAGACUACUGGACUUGAACGUUCAGUCACAAUCGCAUAUAGAAUAUCAAUGGGUGGGGAGGAAAAUUUGAAAACAAUGGAAUUCAGUGAACAAUGUUUGUAAUCCUAACCAAGUUUUACCAAGUAUCUCCAUGUAAAAAUAGUGAUGGUGGAACUUCAUGGAUGUUCUUUAGAUGAUCCCAAUUAUGACUAUUCGACUUGCAUUAUCAUUGUACAGCCAAUAUGCGUACUGUCUAUCUACUCUUAGUCCAUGGGUCCAUGAAGACUUUGAGUUGAACAAAACCAGAUUGAAUCCGUAACAUAUACCGGAUGACUGAUGUAUUGUUUCAGGGGCAGAAAGGCGUAACUGAAUGGAAUUGGAAUUGCUAAUCAUCUAAGAGAUCGAGCAAACUCAGUUUGUCAUGAGACAACCUAAGACACUUAAGAUCUGUUGCUAAUUCGGUGUCAACUGAGCACGUAAUGGUUAUUCAAUUAUGUUGCUUCUUACAUUUGGUUCAUGUUUUGAAGGAGAUUGCCAUUGCGCGGGAAGAAAUAAAAAUAAGCCUGGUUUUGGAGGAAUUAACAACUACAUUAUGCCGAUAUAGACUUAUCAACAUUUCCAUGGAAAUGUAAUUACCUUUUAUGUAGAAUGGAGUUUGUACAUAAUUUUUCAUACGUUACGAUUAGACUACAUGGAUGAAAAAAGGGCUGAAUAUGGGUUCAAGAAGAAGGGGAAAAAAAGACAACCAAGGAUCUCCAUGUAAAAAAUAGUAACAGUGCAACUUCAUGAAGUGUUCUUUAAAUGGAUGGAAAUAUCCUAAUUAUGAUUAGUAGACUUGCAUUUCAGGACGAUGCAAACAACAGUUGGUGCAUUUGGUGGUGCUAGAGAUUAUGCAUAAGGGGUGGUCGCACCACCACUAAUGGUGGCAAGUGCAGGGAAUAGUGAUCCUGUGCAACAUUAAGCUUAAGUACCCCACUAUUCCUUGCACCAAAGCUUUGUCGAAACAUUCGGUACGUUGUUUUGACAUAAAGCUUAUUUGCAGUAUAAAAAACACAUAUAUGGUUUAUGGAAAUUUGCACCAUUCUAACAAUUUUUCAUUUUUAAGAUAUGUUUGGAUAUCGUUCUAGAGCCAGUGGAUUAUGUUAUUACUUAUUAUUGGCGCUGACGUUCUUGCCAAUAUGUGCACUGUCUACUCUUAAUUAAUUGAUCAUAUUCAGGUACUGGAUAUAAGAUUUUAAAUCAUGUUUUUUUUCAUGAAUCUUCUAACAAAUGAAAGAUUAAUCUUUUUGGUUUUGAUGAAUUCAUCCGCCUCUAGAAAUUUGGUUGGCCGUAUUGGGUAUGCUUAGAGAUUUACUCAAGUCGAUUUUUAAUACAUUAUUGGUCUUCAUAAUUUGUUCAACCUCACUGGAUAAGCUUAUUGGAUUUGAUUACCAGCACCAAAAGUCUCUCUUGCAUUUGCAUAUCACAGGCAACUGUGAUAUCGGUUUUUCCUCCUCCUCCAUAUGGUACUAUUUUAUCAUCAGGAAUUGAUAACCUGUAAAUCAUUUUCAAACCUGUCUGCGUAAUUUUUUAUUUAUGCUUUGAUUUUAGGGGAGUCACCAGGCUUUGAAAUUUACCAUGCUUACAAAGAGCAUUAUCUUUGGCAGUGUUUCUUCCAAAAAUCAGUAGUCACCCAAACGUGGUUUCUUAUGGAUUUCAAUAGUUUUUUGUGCAGAUUCUCCACAGAUUGAUCUAGGCCUAAGAUACCUGACUAAGCAACUCUUUUUUCUCAGGUCAGGAUCCACGAGGCGAAACUCAAUUAAGACCCAAGACCCAGGGUUAGUUGAGUUUAAGAUGCAUCAGGUGGUCACGGCGAUAACGGUGACAUCGGGAAGAGGCCAAUGAAUUUGUGAGCUCUUAAAGGUACGUGUUUUUAAAUGAACAAAUCAAAAUGUUGUAAAUUAAAGGAUCAAUUCAUUCGAGAAAUGUACCAGGCAAAUGAGUAAGAUUGUUUCCUUAAUUCUGUAUCUCUUCAUGUGCCGAAACAUCUGAUCGGAAGUUGCUAACUGUGAGCUAAAAGUUAUUUUUGUUAAUGCAUGAUUAUAGACUUAGGUGGAAGUAAUUUUAUGUUUUCUUAUUAUGUAAGUUGUUCUGAACUAAUUGUGUUGUGAUUUCCAUUAAGAGAUGUUGUUCAAAAACUAAAAGAGUGUGGAGUUUAGAUUUUGGUAUACAAUCCUCUUAAACAAGACCUUAUCCAUACGUGAUCCAGAAGGGUGAAAGCUAAGAUUGUUCUGCAUUGGAUGACUGCAGGCGGUGACGUGGGUGAUACGUGCCUCUACAUAAAAAAUUCUCAGGUCUCAGUGAGUACUUGGCUUUAUCCUCUUUUAUGAGUCACCGCCGCCAGACUUCUACUUAUUACUUUUUCAUUUGACUUGAUUCAUAGUCCUCACUGUAUUAACCAUAUAUAAACGCAUCUUGAUGGAGCUUUUCAUAUCAGGGUCUGCAGUCCUGUAAGAAAAAUCCGAAAAAUCUUAAUUAGUGGGAAAGCAAAU